UUAGUCUGUGGUUUUGUGACAACCUAGUGAUGUUAAGAGAAAAUUAAAUACUCGAUAAAAUAGCUUAUUUGAAAAGAUUACAAGCGAAGGCGUCUAGAUUUGGGCUUCUCCUGCAACAUUAAACAUGAGGAUUCACUGUCCAAAUAUGGGUUCCGCAUAUAAGAGAGCUGCUGUUUUCUCCUGCGCUGACAGGCAAUGCUAUGUGAUAUGUUGGCAAACAAUUUUACUGUUUUCCUCUCUCUUCUUAUGAACGAUAUUUAUAGACUCCGAAUUGCAUUUGGUUCCGCUUUCCGACACAGUUAUCUUCUUGGGCGUGGAUUAAAUGAAGAUCUGGGUGUUGAAAGACAUUUACAUAAGUGCUGUUUGUGAACAGGAAGGCCAGUUCUUCUAUUAUCGCCAGAACAUUUAAAUCUUAAUGACUGGCAUUGUUGUCUAAAAGACGGUGUUUUUCCUGCUGAGAAACUGCAUUAGAUUCAAGAAACGAAGCUCAUUUCCAUUCUCUCAGCAGUCUUCUCUAGAAAUGACAUGCAGUGCUUGAAACUGUUUAUUUCCAAAUUCA
ensembl:lncRNA novel transcript